GUAGAGGGACCGAUAAUAGAUGAUUGAGCAGUGGUGCCAUCUGUAACACCUGCCAGAGCCAAAUGGGCAUAAAGAGUCAGGGCCUGAGUUAGAAAUUCAGUUCAAGAGACGCUCUAGAACGUGUGAAUGCGUCUUGAAGCGGUUGCAUUUCUAAUUGUUACGACAAAUUUGUGUUAAUACAGUGAUGAAAACGUGUUGUGUUAGAAAGACGAUUAAAAAAAAUUAAUAAUUUAUUAAUGGAUGUUGAACAUUAAUUAGUUCAAAUUUGAAUUGUGAAAUAAGAUUUUUCAACGUGGAAGAGAAGCGGAACAGGACACAAAUGAUGCCAAAGCAAUGCAGGCAAAAUUUUGUACUUCUUCAUUUCUUAUUUCUUCAAUAAUUUCUUCUGUAGGAAUAGAUUUGAAUCGUAAUCAUAUAGUAUGCAGAUCCAUUUUAAUUUCAAGUGAUGUGGAAUUGCAGUUACAUAGAAAUGGUGACUGUUGCAUCGUGUCGAUAUUGCAAGAUCGAUAAAAAUCGCACGCAUCCGGGUUUAACAAUUUUUAAAAAUAAAAGCCAUGGGUGACCGAAUGUAAAAUAAAGAAAAAACGUAUUCACGGAGUGAAUCAGUGUCAGAUACGUUACAACUGACGUGAUGUUAUUAGUACAUACCAAUGAAACAAUGGCGUGUUAAAUUAUUCAUGAGGUCAUUGUUGCAUCGUAACGCAGAUUCAAACGUCGAGCAAUUUGAGUUUCGCAGGCUAUAGUGGACCACGAUGCAUCUUUAUCCGAUGCCCUGAAGCAAAUGGCCGGUAUACAUAUGUCGAAAGAGUUGCGUCAGGCGAGAAGAAAAAUCUGCGAAUCGGACCGGUUGUAACAACGAGUCAAUCUACUAGAGAGGAAAAAAAUUCCAAGAUAUCGUGUGUGAGGUUCACAUUACGUUCAGAAAGACAUACCAAAGAUAGCUAUCUCGGCUCUGUCGAUUUACGUCAGUAAAAAGAGAAAUUCUGUAGAAAGAAUAGAUUAGUGAGAAAAUACCUUACGUCAAGAAUGCUACCCGACGGCGUUGUUCAUGAAUGCCAAUGUAAACUCAUUUUAAGAACAUUGAAAAAUAACUGGGAUAAAAGGAAUGAAGAAAAAAGCAGGAUGAUGAAUCAACACCGUUUGGACAUUGGGAAUGGAUCAUGAGUUUGUUAGGUGAAAUCGUAUUUCGUUAUAGAUUUGCUGUUGGCAAGACACUUAAAUUAUUCAAUAACGAAAGUUGGCACAACGUGAAAGAAAGGCGAGAAGAAGAAGAAGAAGAAGAAAAGAUCACGCUGCACAUCGCCGCCAUCGAGAGAUUUGGACUUUGACUAGUACUCAAAUAGAAUCCCGAAACACGGUUGAUACAAAAUCGCGCGACAUCCGACACAAUAAGUUCCGGUAAAAGGGAAGAAGAAAAGAAAAGAAAGAAGGGAAAAAAAGCGGUCAAGUGGUGCACUAUACGUAGCUUGACACGGUUCCAUAUUGGUAUAUGUGCUGAUCGUUUCUGUAGUUUAUUGCGAAAUAGAAGAAACGAGAUCAUCCCCGAUCCUCGAGUGCUGAUCGACCUUUGUAUUUUUUUUCUCUCUCUCUCUCUCUCUUUCUUUUUUUUCUUUAAAAAUUCGAGAAUAGUAAGUUGAAUACAUAUAACAGAGAUUCAUACUUAUCACCACUUGCUACAUCUUUCAGAUGCAAGGAGAAUGUAUUAACGGGAAGAGAGAGCGAGGUAUUCGUUAAACUUUUCACGAUUCCACUGGAACGAACUUGGUCCAAUUAAUGCGAUUACUAUGCACUGGAAGCCCCACAUUGUCGUAACAAGGAUGAUCAAAUUUUAAUUCGAAAAGGGAAUCUUAAUAGCACCUUGGGAUUUUAACCCCGCUCGGGGUAAAGAACGGCUUGUGUGACUUAAGUGGUCGUAAAAAGAUACGAAAAGGAUAAAAAAAAAAAGAAAAAAGGAAA